CUAAACCCGGUAACGGGCAUGGUUACACAGCUCCCAUAGUAGUCCGAGGCGUUAAUGACGUUCACAUGGCAAAGGGGAGCAGCUUAUCACUAAAUACUAAAAUGAAGGAAGGUGCGAGAGGCAUUGAGAAAUCCAACUGAAGUAUUAAAAAAUUUGAUGGAAAAAUCAAAGAAUGAAACUUACAGAUUCCAAAGGCUAUAUCGGAAUCUAUACAAUUCGGAGUUCUAUUGGCUUGCAUUUAAAAAUAUCUAUGCAAAUGACGGUAGUAUGACUGCCGGAGCAGAUGGAACAACGAUAGAUGGCAUGAGUAACGAAAGAAUUGAAAAGAUAAUUAAAUCUUUGAAAGACCGUAGUUAUCAACCAAAGCCUGCAAGAAGAGAGUAUAUUGCAAAGAAAAACAGUGAUAAAAAACGUCCGCUUGGAAUUCAGUCAGGCAAUGACAAACUUGUGCAGGAAGUCGUUAAGAUGAUUUUAGAAAACAUUUAUGAACCUAUAUUUAGCAAUAAAUCACAUGGGUUCAGGCCAAACAGGAGCUGUCAGACAGCACUCAUGCAGAUACAGAAAACCUUCACAGGGACUAACUGGUUUAUUGAAGGCGACAUUCAUGCAUGUUUCGACAGUUUCGACCACCAUAUAAUCAUAGACCUUUUGAAAAAGAGGAUUGAUGAUGAAGUCUUUAUUCAGCUUAUAUGGAAAUUCCUUAAGGCAGGAUAUAUGGAGCAAUGGACUUACAAUAGAACCUAUAAUGGAGUGCCGCAAGGUGCGGGAGUCAGUCCGGUGUUAGCGAAUAUCUACCUUCAUGAACUGGAUAAGUUUGUGGAGAAAUAUGCAGAAGCAUUUAAUACAGAGUCAAAAAGAAAGCAUUUCUCAACCGCAUAUAGGACAAGUGUUGAUAGGGCAUAUAGAUAUAGAAAAGCAGGCAAAGAAAUAUGGAAUGACCUAACCGAUGAAGAAAAGAAAGUCAGAAUCCAAAAAUUGAAGGAAUUGGAAAGGAUUGAAAAAUCCCUAACCUCAUAUGUCUACAAUGAUGAGAAUUAUAAGAGGGUACAAUAUACAAGAUAUGCGGAUGACUUUAUUAUCGGAGUAAUUGGCAGUAAAAAAGAUGCAGAAGCUAUCAAAGAAGACAUUAAGAUAUACCUGCAAAACACAUUAAAAUUAGAAAUGUCCGAUAGCAAGACUAAGAUAACGCAUACGGGAGAUAGGGCAAGAUUCUUAGGCUAUGACAUUACUGUAUCAAGAGCACAAACACUAACAAAGACAGCUAAUGGCAAGACUCAAAGAUGUCAUUCAGGUGUAGUCCGGCUCCUUGUUCCAAGGGAAAAGUGGGUAAAUAAGCUAAUUGAAUACAAAGCAAUAAAAAUCAAAAUUAACGAAAACGGCAAAGAGAGAUUCUUAGCCCUCCAUAGGGGGAAGCUGGUGAACCGGAGUGAUAUAGAAAUUCUAGCAAGAUACAAUGCAGAAGUUCGUGGACUCUACAAUUAUUAUUCUAUUGCAAAUGAUUCUUAUAAAAUAGGAAGAUUUGCAAAUUUGAUGAAGUACAGCAUGUACAAGACAUUUGCCUGUAAGUAUAGAACAAAUGUCCAUGAGAUAAAGCGAAGAUAUUGCAGAAAUGACUUAUUUACAGUUGCAUAUGAGAUAAAACAGGGAACAAAGAUAACGACAUUCUACAAAGAUGGCUUUAAACGAAAAGGGUUCGCUACUAAAUUUGAUAAUGUUAGCGAACUGCCACAGUUUUCAAAAUAUGUCAAAUCAAAUACUCUUAAACAGAGGGUUGAGCGACAUACCUGUGAACUAUGUCAUAAAGACUGUAGAGAAUUGGAAAUACACUUAGUUAAGAAACUCAAAGAUUUGAAAGGGCAAACAGAGUGGGAAAGACUCAUGAAACAAAAGAGAAGAAAAACACUUGUAGUAUGCCCGGAAUGCCAUAAGUUAAUUCAUUCUUAAUCACCACAAAAGAUAAGUGGAAAGCCGUAUACAUCGAGAGGUGUCCGUGCGGUUUGGGAGGGAGUGGAAGCGAGUCCUUUUCGGAGGAUGAGCUGAAACUUACCUCAUGAUAG
rnacentral:rRNA from 1 species